ensembl:lncRNA
CAAACACAUCAAGAUGUUGCAGGUCCUCUGCAACUAUAUCUCCAAAGAGGGUCAUCCUGAUGAAUGGAGCUUUAUUCUGAGACAUGUCACUCUUAGGCCUUCGCUGUGACUAGACAAUUAAAUACCAAUGGCUUUCUAAUGGAUUUACUACAAGGCAUUAGCUGAUGAAAAUUUUGCUGUGUUGCUGCUUCCUUUUCCUUAUAAUGAGGAACAAAAUGAUAUCAAAAGAAUCUGUUCAUUUAAUAGAUUUCAUAACAAUAUUUGUGGUAGUAGUGUAAGAGACUAUUCUUUUAUAUCAUUGACUCAAAGUUUGCUGAGGAACAAGUCCUGGGCAAAGGCAGAGAAAUCUUUUGUCUUGAGGACACUGAUGGACAGGUCCUGGCUAAGGAUUGUGAAAUCCUCUAAGGAGCACAGAUGGACAAGGCCAGGGGCAUCGAGAGAGAGAUAAGCUGCUGCUAAUGGCCGGGAAACGGUCUUUUUGUGUGGACUUAUCUCAAGGAAAAUGGCCAUCUCAGGAGGUAUGCACAGGACUCUUGCUCAAGCACCCAGGAAUGUCACGUAGGCAGCAGAAAAUGGA